GUUUCCCCUAGAGUUCUCCUGAAUCACUUCAUUGGGAUUUCAAUAAUGCCUACUGAAGUGUUUGGGGAACUCUGGUAGCCAC
rnacentral:pre_miRNA from 1 species